rnacentral:rRNA from 2 species
CUGGCGGCCGUAGCGCGGUGGUCCCACCUGACCCCAUGCCGAACUCAGAAGUGAAACGCCGUAGCGCCGAUGGUAGUGUGGGGUUUCCCCAUGCGAGAGUAGGGAACUGCCAGGC